UCCUUCCAUUUAUAAAUUCCACGGGCAAAAACCGAAUUUUUCAACGACUAAUGUGAUGGCCCGGAGGCUCUAUUCCCGCCUCUGCCUUCUUCCUCGUCUGUUCGCCACCUUCAAUCCUGAUGUUCCUCCUCUGAGAUUGAAGCCUCUGUCUGAUUCAGCCUUAAACAGUUCAAUUCAUCUUCAUGCGUUUUCCUCCAGUUAUCAAGCAUUGAGAUCAUAUGCUCGCAGGCCAUGUAAAGACUAUGAUCUGUUUGGCAAAAGGACAACAGGCAAUGAAGAAUUCAGGAAAGCCUGGAAGAAAGAAAUGGAUGAUGAUACUACCUUGUGGACAGGCAGUGAAGCUGAAACUGAUUCUGAAGAAAGGGGAAAUCGUUUUGAAAAAGAGAUCAGGAAAGUAAGACAGCAAGCAAAGGAGCAUUCACAUCUAAUUGAUGCUGAUGACAGUGAUGAGUUAAGAAGUGUAUGGUCGGAAAGUGAUGAGGAGAAAACUCUGUGGACUGGUAGUGAAGGUGAUGAUGAUGAUGAUAUUCCUACAGAGCCAUACCCAAAUGAAGCUAGUGAUAAGUACAUUGAUAAAUUGUUUGAGUUUGAGGAAAAGCCUAAAUAUAGAACAAUCUCAGAGCUACUGAAAGCUGAAAAUGAACCAGAAGAGUUAUCACCAGGGAAACAAGCAAGGAAACUUGCUGUCGAGAAUGCUUUGAAAAAAUUGAAGAAAGGACCUGAUGGGCGUUAUACCAAUGUGUGGGAAGUCAUGAGUGACAUAGACAUUCUAAUAGGAGCUUUUGAAAAUAUUGUUUCUGGACCAGAGUAUGAGGGGCUUAGACAGGGAGGACCAAAGAAACUAAAUAUUCAGUUUUUUAAGGAUAUACAAGCACGAAUGAGAGAUCCAAACUAUAAGUUUUCUCCCGAGUUGAAGUUAAAGCCGAAGAGCAAACUAGUCCCGAGAAAGAAAUGGCAGAAGACCCAGUCUCGACGCAGGAUUCUAGAGAUUGCAUUGCCUCGCAGUAUUAGCAUGCAGGAUAAGAUUAUUCCGAGCAGUGAGCCCCAAUGUUCUUCUGUGCAACAAGUGAGUUAGGUUGCUCCAGCUUAGAAGUAUGGAUGUUGCACAUAAUUGAGUCCCUGAUCAAAUAUAUCUGGAGUCAGAGAGGUUUUCUUCAUGAUGUUUCCUAGAUACGGCCAUGACAGUUGAUAUGUACGUCAAGAAUAUAUUUCUGUGAAGAAAGUUGGGAAAACAAGCUCAAAUAUGAGUAGAAGAGAAAGAAAAAAGGGGUUUAAGGAAAAAAAAGACCUGGAUAUAUAAGGGCUGAUUUCCAUUUAUUGACAUAUUCUGAGCAGUGCUUGUCUUCUUUUUCCAGGAACUCACUGGUGAAACAAUGUCAGUUUAUAUAGGCCGAACUCACAAACAUUCUGUGAGCAACACAUACAAGCAAAAAGACAGAGACAGAGA